AUGAUAUGCUGUGUUAUUCUUCACAAUAUGACUCUCGAAGAUGAGAGAGGCAUGAAUUUGGAGUUCUUCUACGACAAUGUGAGUAGCCAUGUCGAACCAGCUAGAGACCCUAACCGCAUUAGAGCAUUUCUUCAGACCUACCGGGAGAUUGAAAAUGCAAACACCCACUUUCAGCUUCAAGAGGAUCUCAUUGAGCACCAUUGGCUAAGGGCCGGGCAGUAA
rnacentral:rRNA from 1 species